UCUCUUUACAAGUUUGACCUUCAAUGUAGGUCAAACUUGUUUGCAUACUCUGAAGUUGGCUCUGAAUAAGACGAAACCAGUGGAUUUCUUGCACUCUUGAAGACUAUCAGAGAUAUUGCUUACCACUUCUCUGAGUCAGGUGUCACCCCAACCCUCCAUGCACCAUUAAGGAAACAUGUCAACCACAACCACAUGCUGCCUCCCCUACCACUAGAUCCACCUCAUUACCAGGUGGUGAUCCAUUGGUAGCUCUGGCCGACUCUUCAACAAAACGCCGCAGGCUUUAUUCAGGUCAUUGACCCGUUGGUCCAAGGUGGCCUGGUACACUAAUGAGCCACCUUGUGCCUGAACAUGAUGUCCGUUGUGGAAAAAAGUCAAACCUGCUGUAACAAGAUAGUUGUUUAAACUCCUAUAUGGUUCCAGUGUGACCAGACGUUUGAAGUUAUUCUCCCAACAUGCUCUUCUAGCUGUUCAGCCACGCAAAUAAAGAGGCUUUGUGUUCGCUGUUAGAAAAUAAAAGUUUCCUGCAGCUAAAAUGGAAACCUUUAAAGUGGGAAUAUACAUGUUGGCUGGAAGUCCUGCUUUCAUCUACACAUGAAAGCAAAGAAACGAGGAUCUGGCACUUCUGGGAGAAAGCAUCGACGAAGAUGUCAAGAACGUCCAUCCCUGUUAGAAACACUGACCACAAGAGGUCUGUGUCUGGAUGGCAAGCAGGAGAUAUUUUUGUUUUUUUCCCCUUCUUAUUAUGAGAUGGGAAUUAAAAAUUCAGUUUGAAGAAUAA